GAUGAAGAACGUAGCGAAAUGCGAUACGUAAUGUGAAUUGCAGAAUUCAGUGAAUCAUCGAGUCUUUGAACGCACAUUGCGCCCCCUGGUAUUCCGGGGGGCAUGCCUGUCCGAGCGUCAUUGCUGCCCUCAAGCACGGCUUGUGUGUUGGGCCUCCGUCCUCCCCCGGGGGACGGGCCCGAAAGGCAGCGGCGGCACCGCGUCCGGUCCUCGAGCGUAUGGGGCUUCGUCACCCGCUCUUGUAGGCCCGGCCGGCGCUUGCCGACACAUCAAUCUUUUUUCCAGGUUGACCUCGGAUCAGGUAGGGAUACCCGCUGAACUUAAGCAUAUCAAUAAGCGGAGGA
rnacentral:misc_RNA from 1 species